UAUAUAAAAAUAUGGAAUGCUUUACGAAUUUGCAAUGAUACAGAGAUUAGCAUAGCCCUUGUCCAAGGGUGACACAAAUUCGUGAUGCAUUUCAUAUUUUU
rnacentral:snRNA from 1 species